UACGUAGGGGGCAAGCGUUGUCCGGAUUCAUUGGGCGUAAAGAGCGUGUAGGCGGCCAGAUAGGUCAGCUGUGAAAACUCGGGGCUCAACCCUGAGACGUCGGUUGAAACCAUCCGGCUAGAGUCCGGAAGAGGAGUGUGGAAUUCCCGGUGUAGCGGUGAAAUGCGCAGAUAUCGGGAAGAACACCCGUGGCGAAGGCGGCACUCUGGGACGGUACUGACGCUGAGACGCGAAAGCGUGGGGAGCGAACAGG
rnacentral:rRNA from 1 species